UGUUCCUGGCCACUCCACGUCCCCUCGGCUGCCGUCCUGUGUGCUGCCCUGGGAGAGUGCAAGGAAGGGUGGCCCCCUGAGGCUGAUACGAAAUGCCUCAGUGUGAAUGCUCACCUCGGGCUGAGCCAACCCCUCCAGACACGUUCUGCAGCUCGAGGAAGGAACUGCCCUUUGCAGCUGGGAUCUGCCCGAGUUUCAGCAGCAGCCUUGAAUUGUAAUCCCGAGCGGCUGGCGAAUAACACAGCACACAGCACUCGAGAGCCCAGGUGUCCAGGGUCACUCCCACCCCACCCUUGGCCUCCUGCUGGCUCAGCCCCACACCCCCACCAAAGGGCCAGGCUCCGGGUGAGUGAUCCUCAGGGCCCCCGCACAGGCUGUUCCCUCUGCACACAGGCUAUCCCUGCCUUCCUGUCCAGCCAGUGGGUGGGGAGAAGCGAGUCCCUCCUUUCAGGGAUUCUCAGGAACCGAGUGGCUAUCAGGGUAUGCAGCUGUGAUGCACGUGGCAGGAGAAGACCUCAGACGCCACAGCCUAGCUCUCUGUGGGGCAAGUGUGUCUCAGCCUCUCUCUGAGGAGAGGAGAGCCCCUGGACUGGAGGGUGCCCUGCUCAGCUCUGCCUGGGUAUUCUGUGGCUUGCAGGGUGGAAGGUGAAGGGCUGCAGGCGCUGGCCUUCCCAGGCCCCCCACUGUCUGCCCAGCUUUUCCUUCUUUGGCAGCCCCAGUUCCUUCCUUAUACCCAGUGGGACAGCAGGGCCCAGCCCUAGGGGCCGCAGGAGACAGACAUGCCCCAACUGAGACAGACAAUGGCCAGCAUGGCAGGUGGCCCAGUCUCGGCCACCAGGACGUCCUAGGAGGUACGGCCCCUCAGCUAAGCUGGCUGUCCUUAGUGGCCCAGCUCUGGCUCUGGCUGGUCCUGUGAACUCAAGAUGGCAGACACUGUUCCUGGUCUCAGGCCAGGUCUUGGGUGAAGAACGUUGGGUGUAGGACCCUGUACCUCUCCUCCUGGAACACCCCCAGUGGAUGGCGAGGUCACUGAGGCUCCAUCCAACGGGCAGCCUCCAGGGCAGCCCUCGCUCCUCCCUUGCCCUGGAGGUGGGCACGGGUCAGUGGAAGGAUGGGACUGAGGGGCUGGGCCCUUCACCGACCCUGGAAGGUGGCUCCCUGUGGCCUUCCCUGCAGUUUCCUGGUCCACUGUGGUUCAGCCUAAGACACAGGUGAAGGCCUGGUUAUCACUUGGCUGCUUUUGCCAAAAGAGUGGCUUCCAGUGAAAUCCUUUGGCUGCCGAAAGGCAAAGUCACCCUCCCUCCCUGUGGCCCCAACACCUGCAGGGUUUGUCAGCAGAAGGUUUUCACGGUCCACUGGGCAUUCGCGGGCCUUUGGCAUCCUCGAGGGCCUGCCUUUGAUUAGCACACACCCUUUGCUUGACCCAGAGGGUCCAGAUGGCACUGGCUCCACGGCAUGGCCUUGAGAAUUGAGGCCGGCUUCGGCGAGGAUGGUCCCACCUACUCUGGCCUUCAGGCCUUCACCAGGAGAGAUUCAGGCUGCUGGCCCAGCCAGUCUCUGCAGGGACACCCCGGUGGGCCCAGGGAGGGACUGGGGUCAGCUGGGGCCCUGGACUUACAGUGGAUCCCACUUCCCCCACGUCUUGCUUGGUUCUGGGCAUAAGGGUCCUAGUUCUUAGGGCCUGGCCUGGCCCUCUCACUGCUCCCGGGAAACCUCGGGAAACAUGGCAGGCUGUGUUCCCCAUCCUCAGGCUCCCAAGUCGCUUCUGUCCAGUCCUCUGCUGGUAUCUGUGACUCAGCACCAUGACGGGGCCCUGUCCAGGGCGUCCUGGGCAGAAGGCUGCUCCGAGUGCACAGCGGGCACCCCCAUGGACAGGCUGCGUCCAUGUGCCACUCCUUGGCCGCCCUCUCUUCAUCUGUAGUGAUGACACAGUGACCCCCACCUGCAGGCCUGGUGGCACUGCUGUCACCAGGCACAGGGAGCCUGCCCCCAACCUGGGUGGUGUUGUGGGAGUGGCUGGGCAAGGAACGCUGCUAUCCCUGCUGAGCUGGGUGGGCACUGAUGGGCAUGGGGACCUGGAGUGCUGACCCCUAGCCCUACUGUCGGCAGGCCACGCCUGCCCCUCUGGGGAACUGCUGUGUCCCCCUUGGCUGGCCUAGAAGUGCCUAGAAAUGUCUUUUAUGUGGGGAGUCGGUGGGUGAGGGCCCCACUGUCCCAUCCCUUGAGGAAGGGAGGGCUCUGGGCAGGGUCUGCACCAAUUCCCCAGUGCCUGCUGAGGCCUGUGGCUGCCUCAGGGACAGUGUCAGUCACCCCUUCACCCUGGCAUAGGUGUCCUAUUUCCAGAGUGUAGUGCUGGAUGCUUCUGUUUGGCUGUGUUAAUUGAGACCAGCUUUUACAGAAUGAGCCUCUUGGGGUGGGAAAAUCUGCACAGCCUUGGUGUUUAGGGUAACCUGAAAGUGGAGAGUGAGCCUGGGGUGCAGUCUCACUCCCCCAUGCCCCUGGGCACAGCUACCCACAGGCCCACAGCAGGCAGGCAGGACUGAUGCCAUCCUCCAGAUCCCCCGACCAGGCCCAGAGGUGGGGCCAGGAGAGAUCUGGGGAGUUGGUGCCACCAGAUUUCCCAACCAUGACAGGAUGUCGGGGGGUGGGGGGCAACAGCAGGACUGCCCCAGGCUGGGUCCCCACCCAAGUGAGGCUUGGUCGUGGCCUCAUGGCCAGUUUGUCCCUCUGCGGAUCUGGAGGGGUCCUCGGCUGCAGCAGGGGGCCCAGAUGAUCCUGACCUGGGGAUGGGAAGGCCUCUGUCCGUGGUUCCCCAGCAGAGCGGGGCCUGUUGAGAGGAGCAGGGGAUGGUCUGUUGAAGGAGUCGGUGAACGGAGAGGCAUGCAGGGAUGGAUAUGGACAGGGCGGGUGCUCAGACCCUACAGUCUGAGGUGGAGGGGUGGGGUUGGAGGCUGGAAUGGCCGCGGGGGAGCCUAGAGGGGUAGGGCUGUGGCUCCACCACUGUUGGCUAAGGGACCUCAGGGAGGGCUUCAGAGGCUGGGGCCCUGGCUCCCAAGGCCUCAAGACCCUCCUGCUCCCCCUGAAGGUAGCAGUGACCGCCUCUCAGAAACCCCUGGCAUCCCUGGAGGCUGCAGUCCCCCGCCCCGCCUCCACUCUUUCUCUCUGCUCUGUCAUUUUUCAAAAAUAAUUGUGCAGCAGCACCAGGCUGUCUCUGUGCCCCUCCUGUAGGUUGCCCUACCCCACCAGGUCCCUGGCUCGGCGUCCCCAGACUCUGCCAGGCUGGCCUCACCGUGUGUAUCGAGGUGUUCUCCCUGCAAGGUCUUCAUCAUUCCCCAAUUGCUCGCAUUUAUUUUUCUCCUUCCUUGGUGAGUGGCCCUGCCAGCCUCAGCCUUGUCUCUCCUUGGUGAGCGUCAUUAAUGCAGCUUCCGCGCCACGAUCAGAGGGGGCUGCCCCCACCCUGCCGGCCCUGCCGCUUCUCCUCUGCCCGCCUCGGGAUGGAUGUUCAUUUAUUGCCCAUAAAUCUCUGCACAGCCCUUUGUAAAGACAAAUUGGAGGCCUCCUGUUCCCCGGUGUUGGUUGGGCCGAUCGGUGGUGGGUUUAAUUGGCCCUUCCCGUGGAGGCUGCCCCUGCAGGAGAGGCUCGUUGUGGGCUGGGCCAGAUGCACUGCGUCUGCAGAAGGGGCCAUUCUCUGCCCCUCAUUUUGUCUAGCGUCUGAGGCUGGGCCAUGUGCAGGGACAAAGUGUGGAUCCUCCCUCGGGCUUCCAAAACAUGGCCUCCCCGCAUUCACGUGGCCUGGCAGCAGCCCAGGCCCAGGCAGGGCCCUCUCUCACCCAGGGGGUGAUGCCUGCAGCUUCAACAGCAACCUCCAGGAAGGAGGCGCAUGGGUUCGUUGAGGUGAUACAGGAGUGGAAGAGCUUGGUCCCUUGAAAUGAAUGAUAGGGAAAAGGGGAAGUGCUGCGUAGAGGAGGGUGUGAUCCCUGGCUGGGGCUCCAUCCCACAGACCUAGGUGAGGACAGGCAUUUUUGCAUUUCCCAAGACCACCCUGGCCUGCCACACCCCCAUCCUAUGACUAUAAAAACUCGCGAGACCCUGGCAGGCACGCACAAGCUGCUGGACGUGGAGAGGAGCGGAUUGGCAGAGGAGCACUCAGGCGGCUGGACGUCGAGAGGAACGCACUGACGGGCGCCGGCACCCCGGCAGGCUACCAACCGGCAGCAGAAUGACCUGGAGUUUGGCUGGGGCAGCCAGAGGAGAGCCCGGGCCCGACUCCAGGGGAAAACCGUCCCACUCCAUCUUCUUCUGCCUUCCCCCAUCUGCUACCUCCACUCAAUAAAACCUUGCACUCA
rnacentral:lncRNA from 1 species